rnacentral:lncRNA from 1 species
GGGAAAAAACCUGUUUGAUUCUUUCUAUCCCAGAAUACUUGAAAACUAUUACCUGUGACAACUAAAGGACUUUGGUGAGAUAAACAGGCAAGACCUAUGGACUCGACCCUAAGAUUCUCAGUCAGCUACCACCUGGGACAAGCUUGCAUCCUGGCAGAUCAAUAGAGAAUGGAUUUUGCCGGAGGUUCUGGCCUGGAACACUAAUUAAAAAGGACGUUCUAAAAUGCACCCAGGCAUAUUCUGAUAAAGUCUUAGCAGAUGUGGGUGACUUUUUUUUAAAGUCACAUUCUCUUUGUUUAUUAAGGUAACUUUUAGCAAUUUGUUAUGUAUUAAAAAAACCAAAGUAGAACUGCUUUAAGUUUAUAUCAAGACCUCAUUGCCAAUUUAGGAGAAAGUUCUUUAAUUGCUUCAUCUGGUGGCUCCUGUAAUACUGGGCAUACCUCUCUCAGCGUUUGUCACAUUGUGUUUUAAUUGUUGGUUUACUUCUCUUGUUCUGUCUUAGAAAGCAGGGAAAAUUGUCUUAUCCUUCUUGCUGUCUGCCCAAAUGCCCACCUCGCUGGGCCAGGUAUGGGGUUGGCAAACUAUGGCUGAUAGGCCAAACCAGACCCCUACCUCAUGACCAUGAAGUAAGAAUGAUUUUUAUUUUCAGUGGUUGAAAAGAAAUCAAAGGAAGAAUAUUUCAUGACACAUGAAAAUUAUGUGAAAUUCACCUUUCAGUGUUCAUUAAUAACGUUUUAUUGGAAUACAGCCACAUCCAUUCAUUUACAUUAUUAUUUUUGGCUACUUUUGUGCUAUAGCAGCAGAAUUGAGCAGUUGCAACAGAGACCCUAUGGGCUGAAAAGCCUAAAAUAUUUACUGCCUGGUAUUUUGUAGAAGUUUACUGACUCCUUUCUUACGAUAUAGUGGGCAUGUCGUAAAUUCUUACUGUUUGAAUUAUUUCACAUAUAAAUCUUGAGGUUCCAGAUAGGAUUAUCGUGAUCCUAAAAGUGUUCAGUGACUAUUAAGUGAAUGACUGACUGACUGACUGACUGACUUCUCUUAUUAUCCUUUUGUAACCUUAGGUUUAGAUGUUAGCAGUGCUGGUUCAUUUCUGAGAACUAGACAAUUACAUAGAGUUUCUUUUCUGAGGAACUAAAAGAUUUCUGUUAAUUCUUAUUAACUUUCCAAGUUUGGAGUUCUCAUCAUGGCACAUCGGAAAUGAAUUCAACUAGGAACUGGGAGGUUGUAGGUUUGAUCCCUGGCUUUGCUCAGUGGGUUAAGGAUCUGGUGUUGCCAUGAGCUGUGGUGUAGAUCGUAGACGCGGCUCGGAUCCUGUGUUGCUGUGGCUGUGGUUAGGCCCGAAGCUGUAGCUCUGAUUGGACCCCUAGCCUGGGAAGUUCCAUAUGCCGUGGGUGCCGCCCUAAAAAUCAAAAAGACAAAAAAACCCAAAAAACAAAAAACACUGUCCAGGUUCAGAACCAUUGUAUGGCAUGCAAAGACAACAAGAGGCACACAGAAGUUAACUGACAAAGUCACAUAGUAAAGAAAUGGCAGGACUCUUCAUGUAUUUUUCUUUUUCUCUUUGCUGAGGCCAUUCUUUGUGAUGAGAGAGGAUUCAUCUAAGCCUGGGGAUAUUCACGAGCAAAUUACUGCCCCGUAACUAUAUAAUGCAUUAAGUCUUAUAGAUAUCACUAUCUUUGUAGGCUCUUCAGUUCAUUACCAGGGAAAUUCAUUAAAAAAAAUAAAUCUAUGGUUUAAAAAGUAAACACUGCCGAGAAUGAUAGCAAUUACCAAAUGUAAACAUGGUAGCCUUUGAGAUCCACUGUGAAAUUGUUUAGUGAAUUAAAUUAUUGUGCUUUUGAUAUUCAUAUAUCUACUUCCAUUGACUGUUAAGGAAUAUGCUUCAAUAGGUAAGGUUUAUUUUUAAGACACUAACGUUCUUAGGUAAAACACAACAAAACAAGGCAGCAGUUAGCGAUAUAAAAUGACCUUGAAAUCUGCCUUUUUAAAAGAAAGUAUCUUUAAAAUGACCAGUGCCACAAAUGCAAGUCCAUUCAUAUGCAGUGGAGUUGGAGGGCAUGGGAGUAUUCAGGCAUAAAGUGGGAAAUCCUAACUUGGAGAAGAUUCCUAAAUUGAUACACAUAGUGUGUUGGAGUCUGAGAGAGUUGAGGAAUUUGGCAGGAAGGAGAAGGAAGGAAGGAAGGUCAGGUGAUACACUGAGUAAAGAAAUAGGCAUCAAAACUUCCCUUGGAAUCUGAGGAAACAGUGUUUUUCUUAAAACACCACUUCUGUCCUUACUUAUUGGGCAUCCACCAUGUGACAGGUUUCUUUUUAUACAUUUUUGCCAGCUUUACAACAUCCCUGAAUGGUAGGGGUAAUACUUUUAGCUUAUGGAUGGGAACGAUGAAACUUAGGGUAAUUGGCUUGCCUGAGGUUUUACAGUUAGUAGCCCACAGAGUCCAGUUUCAAACCCAAAUUUGUCUGACUCCAGACCUUGUGUUGUUUCUAUUGUCCCACUUCUCCAGUGCCUGUUUCUGAGAUUUCUUCCUUGAAAAGCAUGUAUCCAGCCUGAAGCAAUCCUUCACCGAUUUGUGCAAAUGAAGCUCUUUUCCAUUUCCCCCGUUCUCUUUCUUUUCCUUUGCUUUGUAGUACAUUGUUGAUUUGUUCACUAUCUAGUUGAUCUUGCUACCUGAGGUAGAGGGACUGUAGGUAGGGAAUCAGAGACUGUAACAAAACUCUCAUAAAACCAAUAACCUUUUCCCCACUGAAAACCUCUUUGGUUUGUCUUUGGUGACAUGUGCCCCAUCCUUGGUCCUGGGACUGCAGGGGAUUCUCAGAGGAAAGGCUGAGAGACAACAUUCCAGGCGUAGAGUCCACAUGCCUUGGUUCUGUUGGAGGACUUCUUGGCAGCAUUCGAAGAAGCCUGUGUUUUCCUACCAGUUGUCUCUCCUGGGUCACCUGCUUUCCCCUUUCUGAAUCUUUGUACCUCACCCACCCAUCAAUCCUUCCAAACUUGUAGACUUCUCUUUAGUCUCCUCAGUUUUUCUUUUUUGUAAGUAUGUGGUUGGUGCUCCUAGGUCUUUUUAACAGAGGCUUUUAUCAUUUACACCCAUUGAGUAUUUACCAGAGCUUUUCAUUUCAAAUUUUGAUGUUUGACACAGUUAUGUACGUGUAAUAUGUUCACUACUGAACCUUUUUGGAUUUUAUGGUGGCAGCCUCCAGGAGAGAAAAAAAAAUAUCUAGGUAUAUUCUAUGUAGAGUCAGGAGGCAAAGGGCAGAGGGCAUAUGGUUGGUGGAAACCCGUUUAUUGAUGAUUUCUUAGGAUAUAGAUCCUAACUGUUGGUAACUUUAGAAUUUACUAAUUUGGGGGUAUAGUCUUGUCAGUGAGAAGUUGAUUUGGAAAAGAUGCUGACUUGGAUGUGGCUGAUAAACCAAUAUAAAGGAAAUAGUGCAUUUUCACUUUUCAACCACCAUUGUACAGAGAAUGUAGAAAGCUCCAUAGCAUUAAGAAGUGGGAAGACUGCAAAUCAAAGCAGUUGAACAAGGAACAACCCCGGAGUGCCCUGUAUCUUACAUGGAUGAGAUUGGUAGAAACCUUUGUCUGUGCCUGUAAUUAAUGCUAGUCUGUCUGCAGAGAAUUCUGUGCAUGUAGGCAGAGUUUUGGAUCUGCAGAAAAACUGAGGAGACUGAAGAGAAGUCUACAGAUUUGGAAGGAUUGAUGGGUGAGUGAGGUACAAAGAUUCAGAAAAGACUGUUUCUUGAAGGUGAGGUUUUUGUUUUGUUUUUGCCUUUUAGGCCUGUACUUGCAGCAUAUGGAAGUUCUCAAGUUCCCAGGCUAAGGGUUGAGUUGGAGCUGCAGCUGCCAGCCUAUGCCACAGCCACACAGCCACAGCUAGGCGGGAUCUGAGCCAUGUCUGUGAUCUACACCACAGCUCAUGGCAACGCUGGAUCCUUAACCCACUAAGCAGGGCCAGGAAUCAAACCCGAGUCCUCAUGGAUACUAGGGUCCUAGUUGGGUUUGUUACCGUUAAGCCAUAGUGGAAACUCUGUAGGUGAGGUUGUUUUAUCAAAAUAGCUUGAACAUUCUAUCAAGAAAAGGAAGUUGAGUCAAAUUAGUAAGAAAUUUUAAAGGGAAGAAUCUGAAGGGUUUAAUUUGAAAACUGAAAGGGUUGUCCUUUCCACAGUGUUUCCUACUCAAUAAAUUAGGAUGGUUGGGAGGUGGAGCAGAAUGUCUGACACUUUUCCUACUAGCGCAGCUUCUGGCGGUCAGUUCCUUCUCUUAUUCCUUGAUACUUUAAAAAAAUAUCUAGGGCCUAAAGUCCCUGACCAAGGGAAAGAGAAACUACCUUCUGUAAAAACCCCGAAGCUCCCAUUGUGUUUUCGCGCUAAGGAAGUGUUCAAGAUAGAAGAUCCAUUAGGACUGUAUGCUCUAGAAUCACAGACAGGGCUGUCCUUACAAAUGGUAAAAAGAGGCUGCAGGGAGUUCCCUUCGUGGCUCAGUGGUAAACGAACCCGACUAGGAACCAUGAGGGCACGAGUUCUAUCCCUGGACUCACUCAGUGGGUUCAGGAUCCACAGGUGAGCUGUGGUGGAGGUUGCACAUCUAGUGUGGCUGUGGCUCUGGCUGUGGUGUAGGCCGGCGGCUACACCUCUGAUUCCACCCCUAGUCUGGGAACUUCCAUAUGCUGCGGGUGUGGCCCUAAAAAAAAAAAAAAAAAAGGAGUUCCCGUCGUGGCGCAGUGGUUAACGAAUCCGACUAGGAACGAUGAGGUUGCGGGUUCGGUCCCUGCCCUUGCUCAGUGGGUUAACGAUUCGGCGUUGCCAUGAGCUGUGGUGUGGGUUGCAGACACGGCUUGGAUCCCCCGUUGCUGUGGCUCUGGUGUAGGCCGGUGGCUACAGCUCCAAUUCGACCCCUGGCCUGGGAACCUCCAUAUGCCACGGAAGCGGCCCAAAGAAAUAGCAAAAAGAUAAAAAG